rnacentral:ncRNA from 1 species
CAUGGGGAUAGGUUGACGAACCGAAACAGCGCAAGUCCGGCGCAGUUCCCCAUGUUUUCUUAUUUUACGGAC